UAACAAAGAGGCACCUGGGCUUUUGACUCACUGCCUAAUGGUGGCAAGGAUCUGACAGAAUCUACUGACUUACCGUGUGUGAACCAUUGUUUUAAUCAUGAAACCAUUUGAGAUAACCUCAUCUCAACAUGUAACCAACAAAUCCUUCAACAAGAGAAGCUGUGUUGUUUUUACUAAUGGGCUGCUUGGAGAACCAAACUACAACAUAUUGCUUCUCCACUUCCAUGGGUAGGAGACACCAGGCUUCAUGGCACAUCUACAACAUUGUCUGUAAAGUUCAAAUAGCAAACAUCAUCUUCAGAGCUCUGAAACAUCCAUUUCAGCUUGCCUGCUGGCCUAGGAAAUAUGUUUAGACUAGAAUAUGAUGUUAGAAAUAACAGGAAAAAGCAAGCAAAAUCAUCUCAUUACAGGAUUGCCUCUGAUAGCUGAGGUUCACUUACCUGGAUUAGAGAAUAUGCUCAGCUAUUUAGUCUCCUAUGGGGAACAUCUGAGUGCAUACUCCCUUAUAUCUAACAACAACUAAAUAAAGCUCUCGGUUUAAGAUAUCUAUUUAUCCUUUUGUCUUCACCGGAUAUCCUUGACAGCUAGUUGCCCUUCAUAUGCUCACACCUGUUAGAACGAUGUUAGAGUUGUAACUAUGCGAGGAAAAAUCUUCACAUCUAAACUUUGCUUUGGAGUAGACUUUAUGGAUGUUUGAACUUGAACUGGACAGAUGAUGAUUUGGGAGAUUGUUUACUUUGUAAUGAGUUUCUGCUGUGAAUGGUGUCACAAUGAGCUGUCAUAGUUCAGUGUGGAUCAUGGUUAGGAAAGUAUAUGUAACUUUCCUGUGAAAAGGUUUCAACACAGUUCCUAACUGAUGCACCAAGUUUACCACAGCAAUAUCAUACUAUAAUGUCUCAAUAAAUUUUAAAAA